UUGCAGUUAGACGCUCGUAGUCGGAUUUCGGGGCGGUCCGACCGGUCUGCCGAUGGGUAUGCACUGGUCGGAGCGUCCUUUUUGCCGGAGACCGUGCCUACUCUUAACUGAGCGGGGGCGGGAGACGGCACUUUUACUUUGAAAAAAUCAGAGUGUCUCAAGCAGGCAGCUCGCUCUUGCAUGGAUUAGCAUGGGAUAAUAAAAUAGGGCUUUGGUGCUAUUUUGUUGGUUUCGAACACCGAAGUAAUGAUGAGAAGGGACAGUCAGGGGCACUCGUAUUCCGCCGAGAGAGGUGAAAUUCUCAGACCAGCGGAAGACGAACCACUGCGAAAGCAUUUGCCAGGGAUGUUUUCACUGAUCAAGAACGAAAGUUAGGGGAUCGAAGACGAUCAGAUACCGUCGUAGUCUUAACCAUAAACCAUGCCGACUAGGGAUUGGAGGAUGUUCACUGAUUGACUCCUUCAGCACCUUACGGGAAACUAAAGUCUUUGGGUUCCGGGGGGAGUAUGGUCGCAAGGCUGAAACUUAAAGGAAUUGACGGAAGGGCACCACCAGGUGUGGAGCCUGCGGCUUAAUUUGACUCAACACGGGGAAACUUACCAGGUCCAGACAUUUUGAGGAUUGACAGAUUGAGAGCUCUUUCAUGAUUAGAUGGGUGGUGGUGCAUGGCCGUUCUUAGUUGGUGGAGUGAUUUGUCUGGUUAAUUCCGUUAACGAACGAGACCUUAGCCUGCUAAAUAGUGACGCGAACUCUUUGUUCGCGGGCCACUUCUUAGAGGGACAACUUGUCUUCAACAAGUGGAAGUUUGAGGCAAUAACAG
rnacentral:rRNA from 1 species